rnacentral:piRNA from 1 species
UGAUAGUCUUCAUUUGAGCUUGUUUC